AAGUACUGGCUGAUGCUCAAAAAAAAACUCCAAGUACUGGCUUUGACGAACGGCGCUUGGGGUAAAAAAAAAGUAAUUCUCAGAGACGCUAUUUUCCCCUGGAUUCGCGGCCGGAGAGGGUUGUACUCAUUGCGACGGCGGAGGCGACGGGGGAUGGGUUCGAGUUCUUAUCCGAUCCGGUUGAUAGAUUCCCUGUGCUUGCGUUGAUGGCGGUGACUACGCGCCACCGGCGCAGCCCGCUCCAGAUCUGCUGGAUAUAGCAGGCGAGUCUAGCAUUGAUGAUGUGGGCGACCGGCCGCCGGCACUAAGUAGAACUGAACGGCGUUUGCUCGAGCAUGAGCUUGUCGGUGCCGGACUUAGAACAGUGAACAGGCAAGGACGACCGGCAAGGACGAUUUGCUUCUGCAAGUUCAAACCAUUUCGUUUCAGUUUCUUGAUUCUAGACGAUGGAUGUAGAGCAGGCCAGACACUAUGGGCCUGUUCGUUGUCCCUCCCAUUCCGUGACUCCGCUCCCGGAGCAGCCAAAGUAGCAGUUCAAAAUCAUGGAGCGGGGAACUCUGCGGAUCCUUGGAUUUGGCGGAGCUGAUGGUUUCCCAAACAGCUCCUAUAUGUGCUUUUCUUUCCUCUCGCGAUGUACUCUAGAUGAUUGUAACCUGAUUGGUGAUGAUGAAUACAGUCAGCAUUUCAUCUAUUCUCAAAAGAAUAAAAAUCCAGUUGGCACUGCUAACUCUUCAAACACUACCAUCGUGCGUGUUUUCUCUCAGAAUCUGUUUGUCAAUGGUUUGUGUUAAUUACUUCUGCACUGACCUAUUGAGCAUGAACAUAAUUGAAUAUCAUGACGAACUGGUAAAUGAAUAUUUUAAUGAGUAUGCAUACACUUAACUUGAAAACUUCUAUUGUUUGUCAGUACAUGGUGUUUUCUAGAGCUAUAGAACCUUAAAAUUACAGCACGAGAGGAGUUUGCCCUUGGUACUAGUCAACCGAUUAUGCAUGAAACGGUUUACAUCGUGCAAGGCUCGUGUUGCACGGCCGCCUACAGAACGGCCACCAUGCAUGCAUUGGCAGAGUGUGCACAUUCAGGGGAUACGCAGAGAAGCAUGCUGAAACUGUGGAGAAAACAUCAUGUUGAAGGGAGACACCAAUAUGGUAACCAUCUUUCAUCUUCUUUGAUCUCAGGUCACCAGUUUGGCGAAUUCUUUGGAAGCAAGAUUUUUUUGCUGGAUGCUUUGCAUGGGAUCAUGCCGCUGAAAUCUAUCCUUGCAAAUAGACACACAUCGGUACUGAAGGUCACUGCCCAAUCUGUAACUUGGGCGUUGAGGAUGUUAAACACUUGCUUUUUGAGUGUACGCCUGCAGUGGAAUUAUGGAAAUUGCAUGUUCAUACCAUCAUCUUUGAUGUGAUGCACGUUGAUGGAUUGAGUUCGGUAAUCAUGGAAUGUUCCUGGAGCACCUAAUGUUACUCUUCCAGAACUGCUGGCCGUCAGUGCAUGGUACCUUUGGUGUAUUCAUCAGCAACGAAAUCAUAGUGAGACUGUCCCACCUCUAAACAACAGGCGCCUUCCAGAAAAUGUAUCGCCAUGCUGUCAAAACGAUGGAAGAAGCCAGACAUGGGAUUUGUCAAACUCAACGUCGAUGCUUCCUUAUUAUAAGGGAUACACAUGGAAAUCUUGUGCCAGCUUCAUGCGAACAUAUAACUUUGUCUCUGACUAUUGCUAUGAAAGUUUUGAAUUGGCAAAUUCUAUUAGAUGCAACAACGUUCAAGCUGAAUCAGACUUGCUGGAGGUUAUCAAUGCAUGCUAGGGUCAGGAAACUUGAUGGAACGUAUCAGCUGCUAUUUUUGCGAGUAUCAUCGACACUGCAAAAUCGAUUGGGAAUGUCCAAUUUAAUCAUUGUCCAAGGGACUCAAACUCUGGUACAUGAGCUAGCGAAGCACUCUAUUACGUUUAUGGCUACAUGUAAUUGGGUUGAUGGAACCUCCUGAU